AUAAGAGCAUAAGGUGAAUGCCUUGGCAUCAAGAACCGAUGAAGGACGUAAAAAGCUGCGAUAAGCUUCGGGGAGGCGCACAUAGCCAACGAUCCGGAGAUUUCCGAAUGGGGAAACCUAGCUGAGAAAAGCUCAGUUGGCGUACAGUGAAUCAAUAGCUGUGCGUAGGGAACGCUCUGAACUGAAACAUCUAAGUAGGAGCAGGAAGAGAAAGAAACAUCGAUUUCCUAAGUAGUGGCGAACGAACGGGAAACAGGCCAAACCGAGAUACAUGUAUUUCGGGGUUGUGGACUACAUCAUGUGAUGGAGGUAAGGUAGUAGAAUUGUUUUGGGAAAGCAAGCCAAAGAAAGUGAAAGCCUUGUAUACGAAACCUGAAGACCCACAGUAGUAUCCAGAGUACAUCGGGACACGUGAAACCCUGAUGGAAGCCGGAGGGACCACCCUCCAAGCCUAAAUAUUCCUUGAUGACCGAUAGCGAAGAAGUACUGUGAAGGAAAGGUGAAAAGAACCCCGGGAGGGGAGUGAAAGAGAACCUGAAACCUUAUGUUUACAAACAGUCGAAGUUUUUCGGAACGACGGCGUACUUUUUGUAGAACGGUCCGGCGAGUUGCAGUGACAUGCGAGGUUAAGGAGUACAGCUCCGGAGCCGAAGGGAAACCAAGUCUUAACUGGGCGUCUAGUAUGUUAAUGCAGACCCGAAACCGGGUGACCUAUCCAUGGGCAGGUUGAAGUUACCGUAAAAGGUAAUGGAGGACCGAACUCACAUCUGUUGAAAAAGGUGGAGAUGACCUGUGGAUAGCGGAGAAAUUCCAAUCGAACUCGGAGAUAGCUGGUUCUCCUCGAAAUAGCUUUAGGGCUAGCCUUGAGGUAAAGUCUAAUGGAGGUAAAGCACUGAUUGGACGCGGGUCCCCAAAAGGAUACCAACUUCUAUCAAACUCAGAAUGCCAUAUAGAUAUACUCAGGAGUCAGACUAUGUGAGAUAAGUUUCAUAGUCAAAAGGGAAAGAGCCCAGACCGACAGCUAAGGUCCCAAAGUGUGUGUUAAGUGGAAAAGGAUGUUAGGUUUCUAAGACAACUAGGAUGUUGGCUCAGAAGCAGCCACUCAUUUAAAGAGUGCGUAACAGCUCACUAGUCGAGAGGUCUAGCGCCGAAAAUGUCCGGGGCUAAAACACACCACCGAAGCUACGGAAUUACCUAUGGUAAUUGGUAGAGGAGCAUUCUGUAAGGAUGAAGCACAAUUGAAAGAGAGUGUGGACGAAACAGAAGAGAGAAUGCCGGAAUGAGUAGCGAGAUAUAUGUGAGAAUCAUAUAGGUCGAAUGUCUAAGGUUUCCUGGGUAAAGCUGAUCUGCUCAGGGUAAGUCGGGACCUAAGGUGAGGGCGAGAGCCGUAAUCGAUGGACAACAGGUAGAAAUUCCUGUACUACGUAUAAUCAGAACUGUGGGGACGCAGGAGGAUAGGAAAACCGGAGAAUGGAAAAAUCCGGCUAAGUGCAAAGGUGUGAGCAAUAGGCAAAUCCGUUGCUAUAAGCUGAAGUACGAAUGGGAGCGAAGAAAAGUAGCGAAGUUUCUGAAUCCACACUGUCAAGAAAAGCCGCUAUUGCGUUAUACGUACCCGUACCGCAAACCGACACAGGUAGACGAGGAGAAAAUCCACAGACCGACGGGAGAAGUGUUGUUAAGGAACUCGGCAAAAUGACCCCGUAACUUAGGGAUAAGGGGAGCCAACGCAAGUUGGUCACAGAAAAGAGGCUCAAGCGACUGUUUAGCAAAAACAUAGGUCUAUGCGAAACCGUAAGGUGAUGUAUAUGGGCUGACACCUGCCCGGUGCUGGAAGGUCAAAAGGAGAGGUUAGCGUAAGCGAAGCUUUGAAUUCAAGCCCCAGUAAACGGCGGCCGUAACUAUAACGGUCCUAAGGUAGCGAAAUUCCUUGUC
rnacentral:rRNA from 1 species